rnacentral:rRNA from 1 species
GAGACUCUGUGCGCGUGCAUAUCAAUAAGCGGAGGAAAAGAAACUAACAGGGAUUCCCUUAGUAACGGCGAGUGAAGCGGGAAGAGCUCAAAUUUGAAAUCUUCAAGGUUCUACCUUGACGAAUUGUAGUUUAAAGAAGUGUUUUCUGUUAGGAUGAGUAGCAAAAGUUCCUUGGAAUGGGACAUCAUAGAGGGUGAGAAUCCCGUAUUUGGUUAUUCAUUCUAGCUUUGUGAUACACUUUCAAAGAGUCGGAUUGUUUGGGAAUGCAGUCCAAAAUGGGUGGUAAAUUUCAUCUAAAGCUAAAUAUUGGCGAGAGACCGAUAGCGAACAAGUACCGUGAGGGAAAGAUGAAAAGAACUUUGAAAAGAGAGUUAAACAGUACGUGAAAUUGUCAAAAGGGAAGCGUUUGACACCAGUGUUGUUUUUCCGAAAAUCAAUUACGAAUGGCUUGAUUUUGUGUUGUAUUGACCUUAUCAGCUUUCUUCACUUUUUUCGAGUCUUUCUUAAUGCACUUUUCGGUUAACAAGUCAACAUCAAUUUCUUUUGUUGUAAAAGAGUAUUCGGAAGGUGGCUUUCUUUUCGGAGAAAGUGUUUAUAGCCCUAUACUUCUACAAUCGGAGAGAUUGAGGUCUGCAGCGUAGAUCCUUCGGGGUUAGAUACACUUGUGCUAAGUUGUAGCUUUUCAUAGACAACUUGUUGACUAUGUUUAGUCAUGCGGCUUACUCGCUUAUGCUAUUUUACCUACGCUUAGGAUGUUGACUGAUAUGUAGUCGUA